rnacentral:rRNA from 1 species
AGAUUGAACGCUGGCGGCAGGCCUAACACAUGCAAGUCGAGCGGUAGAGAGGUGCUUGCACCUCUUGAGAGCGGCGGACGGGUGAGUAACUGCCUAGGAAUCUGCCUAGUGGUGGGGGAUAACGUUCGGAAACGGACGCUAAUACCGCAUACGUCCUACGGGAGAAAGCGGGGGACCUUCGGGCCUCGCGCCAUUAGAUGAGCCUAGGUCGGAUUAGCUAGUUGGUGAGGUAAUGGCUCACCAAGGCGACGAUCCGUAACUGGUCUGAGAGGAUGAUCAGUCACACUGGAACUGAGACACGGUACCAGACUCCUACGGGACGCAGCAGGUGGGAAUAGUUGGACAAGUCGGGACGAAA